GGGACACGUGGUAUCCUGUCUGAAUAUGGGGGGACCAUCCUCCAAGGCUAAAUACUCCUGACUGACCGAUAGUGAACCAGUACCGUGAGGGAAAGGCGAAAAGAACCCCGGCGAGGGGAGUGAAAAAGAACCUGAAACCGUGUACGUACAAGCAGUGGGAGCACCUUCGGGUGUGACUGCGUACCUUUUGUAUAAUGGGUCAGCGACUUAUAUUCUGUAGCAAGGUUAACCGUAUAGGGGAGCCGCAGGGAAACCGAGUCUUAACUGGGCGUUAAGUUGCAGGGUAUAGACCCGAAACCCGGUGAUCUAGCCAUGGGCAGGUUGAAGGUUGGGUAACACUAACUGGAGGACCGAACCGACUAAUGUUGAAAAAUUAGCGGAUGACUUGUGGCUGGGGGUGAAAGGCCAAUCAAACCGGGAGAUAGCUGGUUCUCCCCGAAAGCUAUUUAGGUAGCGCCUCGUGAACUCAUCUUCGGGGGUAGAGCACUGUUUCGGCUAGGGGGUCAUCCCGACUUACCAACCCGAUGCAAACUACGAAUACCGAAGAAUGUUAUCACGGGAGACACACGGCGGGUGCUAACGUCCGUCGUGAAGAGGGAAACAACCCAGACCGCCAGCUAAGGUCCCAAAGUCAUGGUUAAGUGGGAAACGAUGUGGGAAGGCACAGACAGCCAGGAUGUUGGCUUAGAAGCAGCCAUCAUUUAAAGAAAGCGUAAUAGCUCACUGGUCGAGUCGGCCUGCGCGGAAGAUGUAACGGGGCUAAACCAUGCACCGAAGCUGCGGCAGCGACACUAUGUGUUGUUGGGUAGGGGAGCGUUCUGUAAGCCUGCGAAGGUGUGCUGUGAGGC
rnacentral:rRNA from 1 species